rnacentral:rRNA from 1 species
ACGAACGCUGGCGGCAUGCCUCACCCAUGCCAGUCGCACGAAGCCUUCGGGCUUAGUGGCGCACGGGUGCGUCACGCGUGGGAAUCUGCCCCUUGCUUCGGAAUAACAGUUAGAAAUGACUGCUAAUACCGGAUGAAGUCUUCGGACCAAAGAUUUAUCGGCAAGGGAUGAGCCCGCGUAGGAUUAGGUAGUUGGUGGGGUAAAGGCCUACCAAGCCGACGAUCCUUAGCUGGUCUGAGAGGAUGAUCAGCCACACUGGGACUGAGACACGGCCCAGACUCCUACGGGAGGCAGCAGUGGGGAAUAUUGGACAAUGGACGCAAGUCUGAUCCAGCAAUGCCGCGUGAGUGAUGAAGGCCUUAGGGUUGUAAAGCUCUUUUACCAGGGAUGAUAAUGACAGUACCUGGAGAAUAAGCUCCGGCUAACUCCGUG